rnacentral:rRNA from 1 species
UACAGAGGGCUCGAGCGUUAAUCGGAAUCACUGGGCUUAAAGGGUGCGUAGGCGGAUCUGCAAGUGCUUUGUGAAAUCCCAUGGCUCAACCAUGGAACGGCUUGGCAUACUGCAGGUCUUGAGGUCGGUAGGGGAUGCCGGAACUCUAGGUGGAGCGGUGAAAUGCGUAGAUAUCUAGAGGAACGCCGAAGGUGAAGACAGGCAUCUGGGCCGAUUCUGACGCUGAGGCACGAAAGCGUGGGUAGCGAACGGGAUUAGAAACCCGAGUAGU